rnacentral:lncRNA from 1 species
GGACAAAUGUCUUUACAUAUAAGAUGAAGAAUGGAAGGAAGAGAAAGCAUCAGACCCUAACCCCUUCUUCUAGCUAAACUCAGGCCACCUCCUCCUCUUCUUAAACAAAUUCAACUUUCUUUCAUUUCUUUCAUUUCCAUUGCAAAAAUCAUCUCUUUAAACUCAAUUAAUGUCUAGUUUCAACCUCCUUUUUACUCCUCCCUCACACAUGCAUCUCCCUAUGUUAACUCUCAUGGAUGGAAAAGCUAAUCCUCACAAUUAGAGCUUUGCAUGAGUGAAGUUCUUCCACGGUUUCCUCACUAAAAUCCACACAAAGGUAAUUUUCAGUUUGAUUAUCUUCCUUUCCCUAAGAUGGCCGAAAUUUUAUUUACUCGAAAACCCAAUUUUAAUCUCUUCAAAAUUCUGUCUUGGCCAAACCCUCUCUAUAAAGAGGGGUAAUUCCUAAUCCUCUUUUCUUUUCCCCAAUAAAAUGUGUUGCAUGUGAUGGAUUGAGCAAUUGCAANNNNNNNNNNNNNNNNNNNNNNNNNNNNNNNNAGCAGUUUAAGGUCAAGAACAUGAGCUGUAUGAGAGAUUGAAAGUUUGGGUUAUUGGGGAUUGAAGCUCAAUUUGAUGCAUAAGCUGCCGGAAGGAUCCAAAACCAGCUGAGGUGAGUUCGUAGUUUAAGUUUGAAUUUUUGGAGAAUGGAAUAAGAUUAGAAGUUGGGAUUUAAGAAAUUAUUAUGGAAAAGUGAUUUAGAAACCUUAAUGAACUGUUGUUGCUGUACUGUGGGCUGGUGUUGUUAAAUCUGAUUGGUAUGAUUAGAUUGGUUAUGGCUGAAUUCUAUGGAAUUUUAGUUAAACAUUUGUAUGACAGUGCAGGUGCUAAUCGAGUCAUAGCCGUUGCUGUGUAUCCCAGACUUAUGUAAUUGUUGCAUUUUCGGAUUCUACAUUUAAUUCCUUUCAGUUUGGAUAUAAAUUUGGUAUGUUUUGGAUUAGAAAUUGAUUCGGAAAGUGCGUUUGAAGUUUGGAUAUUGAUGCUGGAAACUGCUUACGGGUUUUGGCAUGGAUUUUUGCAGAAUAAGCNNNNNNNNNNNNNNNNNNNNNNNNNNAGUUUAAGUUGGGUGAAUGAUUUCAUGACUGAUCAUGUAUGCUUAAUUGGCUGAGUAAGAGUUUGGGUUGAGGUUGAAAUGCAAAAAUUAGAAGUUGGAAGUCAGUAGCAGUUUAUGCAGAAAAUCUAUCGCGAGUUUGCUUAUGCGAGUGGCACCAUCGGAUGGUUCUAAGCGGGCGAGAUGGCUCGGUACUGCUUGCAAUUUCAGGUGGGUUCCCUUAGGAUAGCCUAUCCAUUUUUAAGUUUGGAAAAUUUAGAACUAAUUGUUCACUAUAGGACAUAGGUUUAGAUACAAUGACAAAUUGGAGUAUUAGAUUCCCAUUGUACUCCUAAUGUUCUUCAAAUGCCAUUUUGAAGGAUAUUACACAUGUAUGAUAAUCUAGUUUUCCCCAAUUAUUAUGCAUGUGAUAGAAUCAUCAUAAGAAAUUGGUGUAUGAUGAGCUUUUCACCCAAAGCUCAUUAUUAUGUUAAAAUUANNNNNNNNNNNNNNNNNNNNNNGUAAGCAAAACCUAUAACAAUGAUGUGUGAUUGAUAUGGUUACACAAGGGAAAUAUAAAUAGUUCUCCCGAUGAUUAACAUAUAAGAAAUGGAUUUAGAAAUACUAGCGAGUACCAACAAAAUAACAACCUAAGAGGUUUAUUAUUCACAAGAGGUUUAGAAAACUUAUAGAACUUAGACAGUUGAUCUUAUGGAAUGGAUUAUGGGCUUUGUGCCAUAUUUAAUUAUGAAAUGUUCCAGUGGGCUUUGGACCACGUAUAUGAAUAAAAUGUUUAAGUUAUGGUCCUAGUGAUACCAGAGACUACCUGAUAUAGGAGUUGGAUAAUCUGGUUGGAUUCCCAGAGGGAAUUCCACAUAACGACAAGACGAGUCAAGGAGUCGAGUCAUAGCCCUUGAUAGGGAAUUUGACCGACUAGGUAGACCUCCUGAGCCUAACUCACCUCAGGUUGUCUACGUAAAAAUGAACCCAGAUAAUUAUUGUGUGAUGCACUUAUUUAUAUGAUAUGUAAUUGACGAAUGAAUAUGAUGUUACGUAUGAAAUGAUCAACUGUAAGUUUCUUCCUCUUAGUUACUAACUCUAUAGGUAAAUGGAACCACCGAGACGAAGUGACUGUCUCACCCCCCACAUUUUGUUUCAGAUAGACAGGUUGAUCGAGGUGUCGAGGCCUUGAAGCAUGAAGUUCAGAUAUGUGGAAUACACUAUUGAGCUGAUGUUAAGAUUUUCUUAUAUGUUGUAUAAGACUCGGUUAGAUUAUGUAUUUAGAUGUUAGCUCAAUUUUGUAUUCACUUCUUGGAUUUUGUAAUCCUAUUCAUGUGUUUCUAAUGUAAUUAAUGUUUCCCGAUUCAGUUGUGUACACUCUUGUCGAUAUUCUAGAUAAAUUGACAUGGGGUGUUACAUAGGUAGUCCAAGAAACAAUCGGAUCACGAACUUCUUUAUCUUCUUUAAAGAGAUUGAUAUAGAAUUCUCAUACCAAGUCUUUAAGGCUUUCUGGUUCAUCCACCCAUGUUCUAUCCUCUUUGCGCAAAGAAAUGAUUUUGUUGCGUCUCCUUCUAACAAUGGUUUU